rnacentral:rRNA from 1 species
AGAGUUUGAUCAUGGCUCAGGAUGAACGCUGGCGGCGUGCGUAACACAUGCAAGUUGAGCGACGACGUUUCUGAAGUGGCGACAUGGAAGGGACGAGCGGAGCAGCGGACGGGUGAGUAAGACAUGAGAAGCUGUCCUGUGGUGGGGGGCAACGUCUGGAAACGGACGCUAAUACCCCAUAUGCCGAGAGGUGAAAGCCGUAAGGUGCCAUGGGAGGUGCUCGUGGCCUAUCAGCUGGUUGGUGAGGUAAUGGCUCACCAAGGCGACGACGGGUAGCCGGCCUGAGAGGGUGACCGGCCACACUGGGACUGAGAUACGGCCCAGACUCCUACGGGAGGCAGCAGUGGGGAAUAUUGGGCAAUGGGAGCAAUCCUGACCCAGCGACGCCGCGUGAAUGACGAAGGCCUUCGGGUCGUAAAGUUCUUUUAUGUGGGAAGAAGGAAGUGACGGUACCACAUGAAUAAGCCCCGGCUAACUACGUGCCAGCAGCCGCGGUAAUACGUAGGGGGCGAGCGUUGUCCGGAAUUACUGGGCGUAAAGGGCACGCAGGCGGUGCUUCAAGUCAGCUGUAAAAGGAUGCGGCUUAACCGU